rnacentral:lncRNA from 1 species
AAUAUUGAAAUGUUAUAUGUUUAUUGAACAGUUGGUGAAAUAAGCAUUACACAUAAGUUAUAAUAAACUUAAGUUAACAUAUCACCAUAGUUGGAAGGUUGAUCCGAGCUAAAAAGUUGUACGCUAAGUCUUUCAUUAAGGUUGGAAUGUUCAACCGUGGUAAAAUAUCUAAAAAACUCUCAAAAUACUUGCUUUGAGUAUGGAACACAU